CGGGGCUGGGGGCGGGGCUGGCGGGCCGUUCGAACGGCGCUGCCGCUGCUGGUGGCGCUCGGGCCGGGCUGCGGGCGUGUGCCCCCGGGCAGCCCAACACAACACAGCCCGGCCCGGCCCGGCCUGGCCUGGCCUCCCUCCUCUCCAGAGUGCCCGAGGGGCUGGCAAGGCUUCCUUCCCGGGGGAACAGGCCGCGCUGCUGCCGCCGGCUCCUCCGCCGCCGCUCCGCGACAGACAAUGGACGAGCAGGGUCCUGGGGAAACGUGGCCCCGCCACACUACGAAGCAGCCCCUGUUUGGUGUCAUGAUCUGGAGCCUUGUUGUGCAGCAGCCCGGGGAGGAAUGAAGCUGCUUCCUGCAGAGAUGCUCCGAGCUGCUGGGGCAGUGUGAGUGUGGUGCCAAGCAUCGGACAGCUCGAGUCAGUGACUGCAGCUCGAGUGUGCCUUGUGCUGUCGUGUGGUGACAACACACCCGACCACAAUUCCUCCUCCGUGUCACCAUGGUGGGAGCUGCAGGCCUUGAGAAGGGUCAGUGACCCAAAGAUCAGCCCAAGGAUGUCACAACAGGCAGCACAAUGGAAAGCUGAAGGCUUCUGGGAAGGAGAGGGCAAACUUAAUUGGUGGUACAGAAAAUAAAGGGAGGUGUUUGUUGGCUUGUGCCCA
rnacentral:lncRNA from 1 species